GACGAACCGUGCGAACGUUGUUCGGAAUCACUGGGCUUAAAGGGCGCGUAGGCGGUCAGCACAAGUCAGUUGUGAAAUCUCCGAGCUUAACUCGGAAAGGUCAACUGAUACUGUGCGACUAGAGUGCGGAAGGGGCAACUGGAAUUCUUGGUGUAGCGGUGAAAUGCGUAGAUAUCAAGAGGAACACCUGCGGCGAAGGCGGGUUGCUGGGCCGACACUGACGCUGAAGCGCGAAAGCCAGGGGAGCGAACGGG
rnacentral:rRNA from 1 species